rnacentral:rRNA from 1 species
AACGAACGCUGGCGGCAGGCUUAACACAUGCAAGUCGAGCGCCUCGCAAGAGGAGCGGCAGACGGGUGAGUAACGCGUGGGAACGUACCCUUAUCUUCGGAAUAGCUCUGGGAAACUGGAAGUAAUACCGAAUGUGCCCUUAGGGGGAAAGAUUUAUCGGAUAAGGAUCGGCCCGCGUUGGAUUAGCUAGUUGGUGGGGUAAAGGCCUACCAAGGCGACGAUCCAUAGCUGGUCUGAGAGGAUGAUCAGACACAUUGGGACUGAGACACGGCCCAAACUCCUACGGGAGGCAGCAGUGGGGAAUAUUGGACAAUGGGCGCAAGCCUGAUCCAGCCAUGCCGCGUGAGUGAUGAAGGCCUUAGGGUUGUAAAGCUCUUUCACCGGAGAAGAUAAUGACGGUAUCCGGAGAAGAAGCCCCGGCUAACUUCGUG